AGCUCCAAUAGUGUAUAUUAUUUUUGCUGUAGUUAAAAAGCUCGUAGUUGGAUUUCGGAAUGUGGUUGUCACAGCCCAUCCAAGUGAUGUUUUGGCUUGACUUGACUGCUUCCUCUUUUUGGGCAAUGGGCCUCACUUCGGUGAGUGUUUUUCCCGUUCCUAAUUGUUUACCGUGAACAAAUUAGCGUGUUCAAAGCAGGUUUCUUACCGCCUUGAAUAGUUUAGCAUGGGAUAAUAGAAUAGGACUUUGGUUUUAUUUUGUUGGUUUCUAAAGCUGAGGUAAUGAUUAAUAGGGACAGUUGGGGUCGCUCGUAUUGAGUUGUCAGAGGUGAAAUUCUAGGAUUGACUCAAGACGAACUGAUGCGAAAGCGUUCGACAAGGAUGUUUUCA
rnacentral:rRNA from 1 species